rnacentral:rRNA from 1 species
UACAGAGGUCUUAAGCGUUGUUCGGAUUCAUUGGGCGUAAAGGGUGCGUAGGUGGCGAGGUAAGUCGGAUGUGAAAUCCCGGGGCUCAACCCUGGAACUGCAUUCGAUACUGCCCUGCUAGAGUACUGGAGAGGAGAUUGGAGUUUACGGUGUAGCAGUGAAAUGCGUAGAUAUCGUAAGGAAGACCAGUGGCGAAGGCGGAUCUCUGGACAGUUACUGACACUGAGGCACGAAGGCCAGGGAGCAAACGGG